rnacentral:ncRNA from 1 species
AUAAAGUUUUAUUUUGGCUUUAUGAUUUAUUAUUAAUUUGUUUUAUAUGUAAAUUUUUGUGUGAAUUUUUAUUUGUUUAAAUAAUAAAUAAAUUUUAUUUUAGUCGCAGUAAUUAGUAUUAUUAAUUAAGGAAACUUAGAAAUAGAAAUAUUAAUUAGUAUUGGCCUAAUUCGUGCCAGCAGCCGCGGUUAUACGAAUAAUGCAAGUAAAUCUUAUCGGUAUAAGUUAAAUUGUUUAAUUAAAAUAAAAGUAAAUUUAUUAGGUGAAAUUUUAAAUUUAUUGAUUUUUUAUUAAAAAAUAUAUUGAAGCUUGAAAAUUUUUAUUAUAAACUAGGAUUAGAUACCCUAUUAUUAAAAAUGUAAUUUAUUAACUUGAGUAGUAUUAGUUAUGUUCUUGAAACUUAAAAAAUUUGGCGGUAUUUUAGUCUAUUCAGAGGAACCUGUUCUGUAAUCGAUAAUCCACGAUGGACCUUUCUUGAGUUUGUAUUCAGUUUAUAUACCGUCGUUAUCAGAAUAUUUUAUAAGAAAAAUAAUUUUCUAUAAAUUUAAUUAAAUUUUAUAUCAGAUCAAGGUGUAGCUUAUACUUAAGUAGAAAUGGGUUACAAUAAAAUUAUUUAUAUGGAUGUAAAUAUGAAAAAUUUACUGAAAGUGGAUUUGAUAGUAAAAUUAUAAAGAUUAAUAAUUUGACCUUAGCUCUAAAAUAUGUACACAUCGCCCGUCGCUCUUAUUAUUAAGAUAAGAUAAGUCGUAACAUAGUAGAUGUACCGGAAGGUGUAUCUAGAAUGAC